rnacentral:lncRNA from 1 species
CUUGGUUUGAAUCCUGGUUCUGCUGUUUAGUAGCUGAAGGACUUGGGAGAUGUCUUAAUCCCUGUGACUCAGUCUCCUCAGCGUAUAAUGGAAAUAAUAGUACCAACAACCUUAUAGGGUUGUUGUUCAGAAUUUAAAUGUAUGAGGUCCUGAAUGCAGUUACUGGCACAUAUCGAUCGCUUGACCAAUGUUAGCCGAGAAUAUUAUUAAGCAGCCCCGUAAGCCAAGUGCCUCACACACAUUAUCCAAUCCGUUAGCCACCUGAUGGGGUACAUUUUGUUAGCCAGAUUUUACAGGUGAGGAGACUAAUCUCAGCAAAGCUAAAAACAAAAACAAAAACAAAAACAAACUUGCUGAGGUCACAGAGACAGAAAUCGAACCCAGAUCUGAUGAUUCAAAAGCCACGUGCCAUUACUGGCUUCCUUCCUCAGGAGCCUUGCUCUGGACCUCCAGCCACGCUCUGGUCCGCUUCUUCCUCUCAGCUCACCUGGUCCUUGUCAGAUGCCCGCCUGCAGGCCCGAGCGCGGCCACCGCACAGUCCCCAUGGCUCAGCUACCCCGUGACUCCUGCGGGGGACGCCUUCCUCCUGCGUUGGCCUACCCAAUGAUGCUCCUGUUGUGCUUUUUCCUGGUCACUCAGAGGAACACAGCCCUGCUUGUGUGUCACAAGUCUAUAGAACUUUACCCUGCGGCCAGCAGAGUUGGCCAGGAUUAAAGAUACUAACCAUGUUUGUUGAGCAGCUACUAUGGGCCCAAGUACACACGUCUCUAUUGCUUGUGCUGCCUUGAGUCCUCGCACAGAAGGAGAUCCUGUUCUAUCCCUUCUACAGAUGAAGGCACAAGUUGAGACGGGUGAAGUAACUCACUCAAGGUCACAGUGAGUUGUGGCUUUGCAGCUGAGGUCACACAGCCAGUCAAUUAGGGCAUGAAUUAGAUCUUCUUAUUUCGAGUCACUGUGCAUUACGUCACAUUGGUCUGCCUUUCAAUCUUUGGAUUGAAGCCAGGCAUAGAAAGUUUCAGCCUAGAAGCAUUUUGGGGCCAGGGUAAACGCAAUGAAGACAUGAGAGUUUAAAGGAGCUAUCUUAGACCCUUUGCCUUUCAUCCUUAAUAACUUCAGCAAAUAUAAUAAACAUCCAGCACACAAGAAGCA